GCCCUUUCUCUCAGCCUUCCUGUGAUGUCGCGGGAGCGGCCGGUUCGCGCAGGCGCAGUUGGUGGACCUGGUCGCGCUGUGCCGGGUGUGACACUACGGAGAGCAGAUUACAUUAUCAAAAGCACCAAGUUGAAACAUUUGCAAGGUGUGCAUCAUUUCACAAUUAUUGGCAAUGGUUCAAUGGUUUCAUCUGCUUUGAACGGUUUCUUCUCUAUCAUUAAGAGGUAAAUUCUCAAUUUAUUGAAUAUGGCCAUAUAUGUUAUUUACUUCAUUUUUUCAGUGAAGGUCAAUAAUGUCUUUAAGUUUUUUGGUGAAGAUUUCAGAUAUCACUUUCAAACUGUGCAUUUUUUAUUUUCAAUGAAGUUUUUAAAAUUUAAAAAUUUUAAAAUCUUAGUUUGGAGAAUUUAAAUUUGAUCUGUAAAUUUAUUAUAUAUAAUAGAAACAUGCUUGAGAAGGUGAAUAUUAUAAAAUAAUAAUUUUAAUAAUUGCUGAUUUUUCAAAGAAAAUCUCUGGAGUAUAUAGAGCUUUUCUAAACCAGUCUUAUAUUUUUCCCCUGAAGACCUGUUAUGAAUAUGUAGCUGGAGACACUUUCCCAAAUGUAAACAAGGUUUGAAUACUUUUCCUAAAGUCUGCUGUUGUAAACAUUGUCUAUGUUUAAUAACAUUAAAAUAUUAUGAUAUAAACAUUGUACAUGUUUAAUAAUAUUAAAAUAUGAUAUAAACAUU
ensembl:lncRNA MAD2L1-DT MAD2L1 divergent transcript